rnacentral:tRNA from 1 species
GCCAGUGUGGUGCAAUGGUUUGAGCACUGGACUAUAAAUUUGGAGUCCAGGGUUUGAUUCCCAGCUCAGCCA